UGAACGCUGGCGGCGUGCCUAAUACAUGCAAGUCGAGCGAACGGACGAGAAGCUUGCUUCUCUGCUGUUAGCGGCGGACGGGUGAGUAACACGUGGAUAACCUACCUAUAAGACUGGGAUAACUUCGGGAAACCGGAGCUAAUACCGGAUGAUAUUUUGAACCGCAUGGUUCAAAAGUGAAAGACGGUCUUGCUGUCACUUAUAGAUGGAUCCGCGCUGCAUUAACUAGUUGGUAAGGUAACGGCUUACCAAGGCAACGAUGCAUAGCCGACCUGAGAGGGUGAUCGGCCACACUGGAACUGAGACACGGUCCAGACUCCUACGGGAGGCAGCAGUAGGGAAUCUUCCGCAAUGGGCGAAAGCCUGACGGAGCAACGCCGCGUGAGUGAUGAAGGUCUUCGGAUCGUAAAACUCUGUUAUUAGGGAAGAACAUAUGUGUAAGUAACUGUGCACAUCUUGACGGUACCUAAUCAGAAAGCCACGGCUAACUACGUG
rnacentral:rRNA from 1 species